CUGCUGCUCUCCUUUAGCCCAGCCCAGAAAAUCACUGAUUGUGCCAUUAUUGUCUUCUACUGUUGUGGUUCAGAACAGAAAAGAUCACAAGGAAGAUCACAAGGAAGAUCACUGAUCAGAUCAGGAAAAUGCACAUCUCUGUGCCUCUCCUCUUCCUCUUCAUUGGCUCAACCUCUGCCAAAAAGGAAGGAGAUUUCGGCAUUUUUGAGGCUUGCUUAAAGAACAAAACCAGCCUCAGGUUGGAGUGCAAGUAUGCAAACUGUACAGACUCUCCACCCUACAACUGUGAAUUCCGGACAUGGGACGAGGAAAAGCUGGAAUCAGAACCCCAUGACCAGUGCAAAGUCUUGCUCCCAGACCACAAAAAGCUGUACGGCAGUGUGACCACCAACUACACGUGCAUACUGACGAGAAAGGAGAGGACUGAAAAGAAGCUAAUCAUCAUCGACUACAGCAUAAGAACAGGAAAACGACAUAUCAAGGAGUGUCCUGGUGCCACAGGACUACUGCUGCACCAGACUCCAGCCUCACUGUGGCCUGUGGUGACUGUGUCUCUGUGGACAGUCCUGCUUACAGACAGACAGCCGACAUGAGCCACUCUACUAACCAUCAUCACUGGAGGCUUUGACAGAAAUGCACUCAUACAUUUGACACUUUUAAAUGUUGUGAUUUUUGUUUUUGCAUUCCCUCAUGGAUUAAAAGUGUUGGAUCACA